AAGUCGUAACAAGGUUUCCGUAGGUGAACCUGCGGAAGGAUCAUUACAGAAAGUAAACGCGGACCACACCGCGAACUUCUAAACCUUUGACGAUUGACUCAUGUUGCCUCGGCGGGUUCUCCCGCCAGAGGAUACAUUAAAACUCCUGUAUUUAACGGUGUUGUCUGAGCUACAAGCAACGAAUCAAAACUUUCAACAACGGAUCUCUUGGUUCUGGCAUCGAUGAAGAACGCAGCGAAAUGCGAUAAGUAGUGUGAAUUGCAGAACAUUGUGAAUCAUCGAAUCUUUGAACGCACAUUGCGCCUCCCUUCACCGGGAGGCAUGCCUGUCUGAGCGUCAUUUAAAACCAAUAAAUCCAUCUGGAUUUGUCUUGGGCCCUGCACCGACGGUGCAUCGCCUCGAAGGCAUAGGUCUUUAUCUGCGGACGAGUUCCUCUAGGGCUUACCGUAGGGUCGACCAUCCUGACCGGUCGCUUCGGCGACUGACCAUUUGACCUCAGAUCAGGUAGGAAGACCGCCUGAACUUAA
rnacentral:rRNA from 1 species